rnacentral:tRNA from 1 species
GCCUCAGUAGCUCAAUGGAUAGAGCGCCUGACUUCGGAUCAGUAGGUUGUGGGUUCGACUCCUGCCUGAGGCACCU